AUUGAACGCUGGCGGCAUGCCUAACACAUGCAAGUCGAACGGUAACAGGCCCUUCGGGGUGCUGACGAGUGGCGGAUGGGUGAGUAAUACUUAGGAAUCUACCCUGUAGUGGGGGACAACCCGGGGAAACUCGGGCUAAUACCGCAUACGCUCUACGGAGGAAAGCGGGGGACCGCAAGGCCUCGCGCUAUUGGAUGAGCCUAAGCCCGAUUAGCUAGUUGGUGGGGUAAUAGCCUACCAAGGCAAUGAUCGGUAGCUGGUCUGAGAGGACGACCAGCCACACUGGGACUGAGACACGGCCCAGACUCCUACGGGAGGCAGCAGUGGGGAAUAUUGGACAAUGGGCGAAAGCCUGAUCCAGCGAUGCCGCGUGUGUGAAGAAGGCCUGCGGGUUGUAAAGCACUUUCAGU
rnacentral:rRNA from 1 species